rnacentral:miRNA from 1 species
ACUCAUGCAUGUAUUCUAUACAUUCUGCUCCUUUUCCCGAGGCAUAUCCAGAUAAGAUCCUCUAGGGAGGAGGUAGUCACAUAAAGAAAUGUAGGCUCUUAUUUUG